AGGAUUCCCCUAGUAACUGCGAGUGAAGCGGGAAAAGCUCAAAUUUAAAAUCUGGCAGCCUUUGGUUGUCCGAGUUGUAGUCUGGAGAAGCGUCUUCCGCGCUGGACCGUGUACAAGUCCCUUGGAAUAGGGCGUCAUAGAGGGUGAGAAUCCCGUCUUUGACACGGACUCCCAGUGCUUUGUGAUGCGCUCUCAAAGAGUCGAGUUGUUUGGGAAUGCAGCUCAAAAUGGGUGGUAAAUUCCAUCUAAAGCUAAAUAUUGGCGAGAGACCGAUAGCGAACAAGUACCGUGAGGGAAAGAUGAAAAGCACUUUGGAAAGAGAGUUAAACAGUACGUGAAAUUGCUGAAAGGGAAACGCUUGAAGUCAGUCGCGUCAUGCAGAACUCAGCCUGGCUUUUGCUCGGUGUAUUUUCUGCAUGACGGGCCAGCAUCAGUUUUGGUCGCUGGAAAAAGUCUUCAGGAAUGUGGCACCUUCGGGUGUGUUAUAGCCUGGAGUCGUAUACAGCGGCUGGGACUGAGGAUCGCAGCGCGCCUUUAUGGCUGGGGUUCGCCCACAUUCGCGCU
rnacentral:rRNA from 1 species